UACGUAGCAGCGAGCGUUGUUCGGAAUUACUGGGCGUAAAGGGCGCGCAGGCGGCACUACAAGUACUGGGUGAAAUCUCCCUGCUCAACGGGGAGGGUGCUUAGUAGACUGUAGAGCUAGAGGUGGGUAGAGGGUGGUGGAAUUCCUGGUGUAGCGGUGAAAUGCGUAGAUAUCGGGAGGAACACCAGUGGCGCAAGCGGCUGACUGGCCGAGACCUGACGCUGAGACGCGACGGCGUGGGGAGCAAACCGG
rnacentral:rRNA from 1 species